GACCAACUGUCACAAAGUCUCAAUAUAAAGCAGUGGAGCUACACACACACACUUCCCAUAAGGUGACGGAAGGUCAGCAAGCGUUUACACUGCAGCCGCCCACAGACUCCUGUUGACUUCCAGUUAAUUUGGACUUCUGGAUUGAGUAUUGAGACACUAAGGCGACAAUGGGGAUGAAAGCUGUUGUUAUAUUCACGCUCUUGUUGCUGGCUGCACUGACUGCAGCACAAGAUUUGGACAGUCCUUGCCGAUCGUUUCAAGGCGUUUGCCAGCUGACAACCACUUCUGCAAUGGGCGCUACGUGAGUGGUCUGUGUGGAGGGACGUCCAACAGACGCUGCUGCAUUCCAAGAAUGAGUACAAGAUGCCCGACUUGUUAGGAGAAUUGAAGGCAGCUCCCAUGUGAUAGCUUGUCCGGCUGGCAGUAACUCCAGGAGAAGCUGGAUCCUGUCACUUCAAAGUCUUAUCUCGUGUCUGUACUCCCUCCAUUGCAUUUUAUGAGCAAUAAAGAGUAAGCAUAGUUA